rnacentral:rRNA from 1 species
UGGGGAAUAUUGCACAAUGGGCGCAAGCCUGAUGCAGCCAUGCCGCGUGUGUGAAGAAGGCCUUCGGGUUGUAAAGCACUUUCAGCGAGGAGGAAGGUGGUGAAGCUUAAUACGUCAUCAAUUGACGUUACUCGCAGAAGAAGCACCGGCUAACUCCGUGCCAGCAGCCGCGGUAAUACGGAGGGUGCAAGCGUUAAUCGGAAUUACUGGGCGUAAAGCGCACGCAGGCGGUUUGUUAAGUCAGAUGUGAAAUCCCCGGGCUCAACCUGGGAACUGCAUUUGAAACUGGCAAGCUAGAGUCUCGUAGAGGGGGGUAGAAUUCCAGGUGUAGCGGUGAAAUGCGUAGAGAUCUGGAGGAAUACCGGUGGCGAAGGCGGCCCCCUGGACGAAGACUGACGCUCAGGUGCGAAAGCGUGGGGCAGCAAACAGGAUUAGAUACCCUGGUAGUCCACGCUGUAAAACGAUGUCGAUUUUGGAGGUUGUGCCCUUGAGGCGUGGCUUCCGGAGCUAACGCGUUAAAUCGACCGCCUGGGGAGUACGGCCGCAAGGUUAAAACU